rnacentral:rRNA from 1 species
CCUACGGGUGGCAGCAGUGGGGAAUAUUGGACAAUGGGCGAAAGCCUGAUCCAGCCAUGCCGCGUGUGUGAAGAAGGCCUUCGGGUUGUAAAGCACUUUCAGUGGGGAAGAAAGCCUUGGGGCUAAUACCCUCGAGGAAGGACAUCACCCACAGAAGAAGCACCGGCUAACUCCGUGCCAGCAGCCGCGGUGAUACGGAGGGUGCGAGCGUUAAUCGGAAUUACUGGGCGUAAAGCGCGCGUAGGCGGUCUAAUAAGCCGGUUGUGAAAGCCCCGGGCUCAACCUGGGAACGGCAUCCGGAACUGUCAGGCUAGAGUGCAGGAGAGGAAGGUAGAAUUCCCGGUGUAGCGGUGAAAUGCGUAGAGAUCGGGAGGAAUACCAGUGGCGAAGGCGGCCUUCUGGACUGACACUGACGCUGAGGUGCGAAAGCGUGGGUAGCAAACAGGAUUAGAUCCCUUGUAGUC